GGGUUGUGAGGUUAAGCGACUAAGCGUACACGGUGGAUGCCCUGGCAGUCAGAGGCGAUGAAGGACGUGCUAAUCUGCGAAAAGCGUCGGUAAGGUGAUAUGAACCGUUAUAGCCGGCGAUGUCCGAAUGGGGAAACCCAGUGCAAUUCGUUGCACUAUCGUUAACUGAAUACAUAGGUUAACGAGGCGAACCGGGGGAACUGAAACAUCUAAGUACCCCGAGGAAAAGAAAUCAACCGAGAUUCCCCCAGUAGCGGCGAGCGAACGGGGAGCAGCCCAGAGUCUGAAUCAGCUUGUGUGUUAGUGGAACGGUCUGGAAAGUCCGACGGUACAGGGUGAUAGUCCCGUACACCAAAAUGCACAGGUUGUGAACUCGAAGAGUAGGGCGGGACACGUGGUAUCCUGUCUGAAUAUGGGGGGACCAUCCUCCAAGGCUAAAUACUCCUGACUGACCGAUAGUGAACCAGUACCGUGAGGGAAAGGCGAAAAGAACCCCGGCGAGGGGAGUGAAAAAGAACCUGAAACCGUGUACGUACAAGCAGUGGGAGCACCUUCGGGUGUGACUGCGUACCUUUUGUAUAAUGGGUCAGCGACUUAUAUUCUGUAGCAAGGUUAACCGUAUAGGGGAGCCGCAGGGAAACCGAGUCUUAACUGGGCGUUAAGUUGCAGGGUAUAGACCCGAAACCCGGUGAUCUAGCCAUGGGCAGGUUGAAGGUUGGGUAACACUAACUGGAGGACCGAACCGACUAAUGUUGAAAAAUUAGCGGAUGACUUGUGGCUGGGGGUGAAAGGCCAAUCAAACCGGGAGAUAGCUGGUUCUCCCCGAAAGCUAUUUAGGUAGCGCCUCGUGAAUUCAUCUUCGGGGGUAGAGCACUGUUUCGGCUAGGGGGUCAUCCCGACUUACCAACCCGAUGCAAACUACGAAUACCGAAGAAUGUUAUCACGGGAGACACACGGCGGGUGCUAACGUCCGUCGUGAAGAGGGAAACAACCCAGACCGCCAGCUAAGGUCCCAAAGUCAUGGUUAAGUGGGAAACGAUGUGGGAAGGCACAGACAGCCAGGAUGUUGGCUUAGAAGCAGCCAUCAUUUAAAGAAAGCGUAAUAGCUCACUGGUCGAGUCGGCCUGCGCGGAAGAUGUAACGGGGCUAAACCAUGCACCGAAGCUGCGGCAGCGACACUAUGUGUUGUUGGGUAGGGGAGCGUUCUGUAAGCCUGCGAAGGUGGCCUGUGAGGGUUGCUGGAGGUAUCAGAAGUGCGAAUGCUGACAUAAGUAACGAUAAAGCGGGUGAAAAGCCCGCUCGCCGGAAGACCAAGGGUUCCUGUCCAACGUUAAUCGGGGCAGGGUGAGUCGACCCCUAAGGCGAGGCCGAAAGGCGUAGUCGAUGGGAAACAGGUUAAUAUUCCUGUACUUGGUGUUACUGCGAAGGGGGGACGGAGAAGGCUAUGUUAGCCGGGCGACGGUUGUCCCGGUUUAAGCAUGUAGGCUGGUUAUCCAGGCAAAUCCGGAUAAUCAAGGCUGAGGUGUGAUGACGAGGCACUACGGUGCUGAAGUAACAAAUGCCCUGCUUCCAGGAAAAGCCUCUAAGCAUCAGGUAACAUCAAAUCGUACCCCAAACCGACACAGGUGGUCAGGUAGAGAAUACCAAGGCGCUUGAGAGAACUCGGGUGAAGGAACUAGGCAAAAUGGUGCCGUAACUUCGGGAGAAGGCACGCUGGUGUGUAGGUGAAGUCCCUGCGGAUGGAGCUGAGACCAGUCGAAGAUACCAGCUGGCUGCAACUGUUUAUUAAAAACACAGCACUGUGCAAACACGAAAGUGGACGUAUACGGUGUGACGCCUGCCCGGUGCCGGAAGGUUAAUUGAUGGGGUUAUCCGUAAGGAGAAGCUCUUGAUCGAAGCCCCGGUAAACGGCGGCCGUAACUAUAACGGUCCUAAGGUAGCGAAAUUCCUUGUCGGGUAAGUUCCGACCUGCACGAAUGGCGUAAUGAUGGCCAGGCUGUCUCCACCCGAGACUCAGUGAAAUUGAACUCGCUGUGAAGAUGCAGUGUACCCGCGGCAAGACGGAAAGACCCCGUGAACCUUUACUAUAGCUUGACACUGAACAUUGAGCCUUGAUGUGUAGGAUAGGUGGGAGGCUUUGAAGCGUGGACGCCAGUCUGCGUGGAGCCAACCUUGAAAUACCACCCUUUAAUGUUUGAUGUUCUAACGUUGGCCCCUGACCGGGGUUGCGGACAGUGUCUGGUGGGUAGUUUGACUGGGGCGGUCUCCUCCCAAAGCGUAACGGAGGAGCACGAAGGUUAGCUAAUCCUGGUCGGACAUCAGGAGGUUAGUGCAAUGGCAUAAGCUAGCUUGACUGCGAGCGUGACGGCGCGAGCAGGUGCGAAAGCAGGUCAUAGUGAUCCGGUGGUUCUGAAUGGAAGGGCCAUCGCUCAACGGAUAAAAGGUACUCCGGGGAUAACAGGCUGAUACCGCCCAAGAGUUCAUAUCGACGGCGGUGUUUGGCACCUCGAUGUCGGCUCAUCACAUCCUGGGGCUGAAGUAGGUCCCAAGGGUAUGGCUGUUCGCCAUUUAAAGUGGUACGCGAGCUGGGUUUAGAACGUCGUGAGACAGUUCGGUCCCUAUCUGCCGUGGGCGCUGGAGAAUUGAGGGGGGCUGCUCCUAGUACGAGAGGACCGGAGUGGACGCAUCACUGGUGUUCGGGUUGUCAUGCCAAUGGCACUGCCCGGUAGCUAAAUGCGGAAGAGAUAAGUGCUGAAAGCAUCUAAGCACGAAACUUGCCCCGAGAUGAGUUCUCCCUGAGACUUUAAGUCUCCUGAAGGAACGUUGAAGACGACGACGUUGAUAGGCCGGGUGUGUAAGCGCAGCGAUGCGUUGAGCUAACCGGUACUAAUGAACCGUGAGGCUUAACCUUACAACGCCGAAG
rnacentral:rRNA from 1 species